AGGGAGGCGGGGCGCUCGGCAGCACGGCCGGGACUCCCGCGGACUCGCCACUUGCGGCUGCCGCGCGGGCUGGGCGGCGGCGGCUGCGGGACUGAACAGCCGCCCGGAGGCGGCACGGCCUCGGAGGGCUGGAGCGCGGUGUUGGGAGCCGCGCGGGCGGCGGCUGCCCCGAGCCGACGUGAACAGGCUCUGAAAGGGUUCCAGCUGAAGUUUCCGAGCAGACUAGUAGUCGCUGUGGCUCCCUAGGCUGUUUCCAAGCUGCCGGUGCAUGCCGUUGACAAGCUGCAGGAUGGUGCCCGUGGCCAGGCUGCUGUUGCUGCUCCUCGCCUUCUUCCUCUACGCCUGUGCUGAGACACCUCCCAGGUUUACACGAACUCCGGUUGAUCAGACAGGGGUCUCUG
rnacentral:lncRNA from 1 species